AAUAGCCAAAUAUUAUACUUGGGCUAAAGGUCAAGUUAGUAUUUUUUCUUACAUCUCACCAUCUCGAAGCCCAGGUAUAAUUUACACCCCAAAAUAAAGAGCCUUGAAUACUAGAAGAAAAACACUUAUACCUAACAAGAUAAAUGAAUAUCUAGAAUUGUGUUCAUUUUAUUUCGAUCUUUUCA
rnacentral:antisense_RNA from 1 species